UUGGUGGUUUUUUGGUGGGGAUGGGGCCUUUUUUGAGUCAUUGGAAGAUCUUGCAUCACAUAGCCCUUGUGAUAAAUGAGCAAUUUAUCACACUGUUCCUCCCAUUGCUGCCAUUGUGACAUCACAACAAAUCAUGACAGCAUAACGGAGCUUUGACAGAGGAGACAUAACCUCAAAACACCAAGCCUGACUUGGCACAUUGAAGAAGGAAGGAAGCUAACAAAUGCGAAGAAGAAACAAGCCAGGCCUAUCACCACCACACGCACCACCAUCACUACAUUCAGUAAUGCACAGGGUAAUGUACAAAAGAGGAACACAUGGAGAAAUAUUUGCGCUUUCCAGAUUAGAAGUUUUGUUGUAAACUUUCCAGAGACUACCAUUGGAAUGCACAGCUCCCUUUAAAACAAGAGGAUGAUGCAAAGAGGCUCCCCCGCCACCCUACACAAGUUUAUCUCCAUUACAUUUGACUGAAGAGCACAUUACUACUUCUGGAUAAGGCAAGUAUCUGGUGGGUCACAGUGGAAGAUGAUGUCUUGGGCAUGAUCCAGCAAGAUUCUUCUUAUGAUAUGAGAACAAAUCGCAAGAAGAAUGUAUAAUGAGAAGAACAAACCAUAAGAAGAAUGUAUAAUGAGAAAAAGGAAACAAACCCAAACUGUGCAUUUUAAAGACUGCCAUUUGGCUGGUAUCUGAUGAAGUGUUUAAAUGAGCCUGAAACAAAUCAUGUUACCCAGAUGUGCAAAUUCAAUUGAAGCCUGCAAUUUCAACAAAUUCAAUUUUACUAAACUGCAAUAUUACCUUCCUUGACAAGACAGCUGCAAAGUUCCCAGCAGAUCAGCCAAAAGCAAAAACAUCCUGCUGUUGAAUAUUCAGAUUUAUUUGAAUAUUUAGAUCAGCUCUCAAGUCAUCCACAGCAGUAGCUGUUGUUGAUAUUUCAUUUGCAAACUGUGCAGGCCAUUUGCUGAGGGUCAGUUUUAUUUUUAUUUGUAACAGGAUAUGCCAUACAUAUUUGAUGUAGCUUUGAUUUCCUGUGUGUUAAAAUGUUUUGUUUUCUCAGCAUGCUAAACAUAAUAAUAAUUUUUAAAAAACUAUCUGGAAUACCUCCAAGAAACCUUCUUUGAAACUCUCACACAUUUGAAACUAAUUCUGCUGUCAGUUUGGCUUCCUUUAUUAAAUGUUCUUUAAGGUAAAAUUAUAUGCAUCAUAUUCCAAACAGUUCUGUUGGAUCUUUAUGCAAUCUGUUGGACAGGAACAUGAAGAUGGCAUGACUUUCACUUA